UAGACUACUGUGUGGAGGUAUAUUGACUAUCAGCCAACAGCUCGAUUAGUCCUGAAAAAUGCAUGUAGCUCUCCAGAAGUCCCUUCUUCACAAUGAAACUGCAAGGCUUCUCCCUCCAACUUGAACAUUACCCAGACACCUGCAGCGAUCCGGGAAGUCGACACACACCGAUGAACACAGCCAACACACACUGACUCACGGAGCCAGCACGCUGCGGGGAUGAGUCAUGGAGAGCUGAGUGCCAGCAGAGGCCUCAACCCCAAGCUCUUCUCUGCUUUCAGCACAGAAGAGGAGAAGAAGAAGGAGGAUGUGGAAGAGGAGCUGGAGAGGGGCUGAAGAGCAUACAUUUCUAUAGACUCUUCUUCACUGCACUCUGUUUGGUAAACUGUGUGUGUGCGUGCG